rnacentral:rRNA from 1 species
UACGGGGGGAGCAAGCGUUGUUCGGAUUUACUGGGCGUAAAGGGCGCGUAGGCGGUAGCACAAGUCAGUUGUGAAAUCUCCGGGCUUAACUCGGAAAGGUCAACUGAUACUGUGCAACUAGAGUGCAGAAGGGGCAACUGGAAUUCCGGGUGUAGUGGUGAAAUGCGUAGAGAUCCGGAGGAACCCCAGAGGCGAAGGCGGCCCCCUGGCUCGUACCUGACGCUCAGCCACGAAAGCAUGGGGAGCGAACGGG